AUGUCGUGAUGGGGACACCUUUUCAAAAAUUCUUUGAACCUCUCCCAAGCAUCCCAUAAUGAUUCCACUUCAGUUUGGAAGAAGUUAUUGACCUCUCCUCUCAACCU